UAUAUAUAUAUAUAUCCGAAAUCAUUAACUUUAUGUGAAAUCUGAGCUGAACAAAAUUUUUUUAUAUACACAGCAACAUAACUUUAUACCAGGCGUUGCUUUAUAUCUAGUAAGUAUUCUUAAUCCAGUAACAACUACCAUCAUCAUCAUCUGCACUCUCAUCAGGAGCAGCAAUAGUAAAUGAUGCGAUAUUUGUUUACACCAAUAUUAUUAUUAGUGUAAGUAUUAGUAUUUCAUCAGUGUGCUACCUACCAUUGAACUAGAUGUAUCCCCAACCUUACUAGGGUUAGUCUGUGAAAGGUUGUCUUUUAAAGUGUGUGUGCAUGUGUGUGUUCUAUUCUAGUUGUUCUCAAUAACCAAUUCUAAUUCCUCUACUCUCUAUCUGAUAAACAGCUUCCACUGUAUAGGUAUACAUAGAGAGAGAGAGAGAGAGAGAGAGAGAGAGAGGGAAGGAGAAAAAGGUAAAUGAAUAGAUAGAUAAGAUACAGUCAGGUAAAUGGAUAGACAUUGGCAGAUAGAUAGAUGGAUAGAUAGAUAGAUACUGGAGAUAUUCCACAGUUAUGUGGUUGUAGUGCUGAUACCAGAAAUGUUUUUCUAGUGCUGAAAUUGUUGAAGUUUUCUCAUUAAAUGGAUGCGACAAUCUCCAAGGUAACCCACAAGGGGAUGGUCACAAGUAUUUACCUGCUGUGUAUUCUAUAAUUACGCCUGAAUUAUUAUUAUUUUAUUUUCCUCUUCCUAUCUGAAGUGGUUACUGUUUUCUUUCUGCUUUACCAUCAGUAAACUGACUUUUCCCUGCCAAAUUACUUUCUACUGAAAUGAAAAUCUAGUCAACCACUCUUCCUACCCACUUCUCACUCACAUAUUGUUACCAGCAAAGAGCUUCUAUGUGCUAGAUGAAUUGCUAGAAAUAACAGAUAAAUUUUCUCAAAUGAUAUCCUAGCAUCUUAAGAAAGGAAGGUUACAUUGGAUAAGGUAAUCCCUGGAAGUUUUUUUGUGCUGACUUGAAGCUAAAGCCUAGCGGUCAGUUAAAUCAAUUA